rnacentral:rRNA from 1 species
GAUGAACGCUAGCGGCAGGCCUAAUACAUGCAAGCCAAGGGCUGUUUGGUGUAGCAAUACAUCAAACAACCGGCGGACGGGUGCGUAACGCGUAUGCAACCUACCCUAUACAGGAGGAUAGCCCUCGGAAACGAGGAUUAAUACUCCAUAAGAUUGCUUAGAGGCAUCUUUAAGCAAUUAAAGCCGCAAGGCGGUAUAGGAUGGGCGUGCGUCGGAUUAGAUAGUUGGUGAGGUAACGGCUCACCAAGGCGAUGAGCGGUAGGGGUUGUGAGAGGAAGAUAAGACACACUACAAGGGCACCGAGACACAGGCCCGACUGCUACGGGACGCAGCAGUAUGGAAGAUUGGAGAAUGGGUGAAAGCCUGACCCAGCCACGCCGCGUGAAGGAAGAAGGCCCUAUGGGUUGUAAUCUGCUGUUGAGAGGGAGAAAUAGGGGCGAUGCGUCGCGCGAUGACAGUACUUCACGAAUAAGCAUCGGCUAACUUCGUG